GACGAACGCUGGCGGCGUGCCUAAUACAUGCAAGUUGGGCGCUGAAGGUUGGUACUUGUACCAACUGGAUGAGCAGCGAACGGGUGAGUAACGCGUGGGGAAUCUGCCUUUGAGCGGGGGACAACAUUUGGAAACGAAUGCUAAUACCGCAUAAAAACUUUAAACACAAGUUUUAAGUUUGAAAGAUGCAAUUGCAUCACUCAAAGAUGAUCCCGCGUUGUAUUAGCUAGUUGGUGAGGUAAAGGCUCACCAAGGCGAUGAUACAUAGCCGACCUGAGAGGGUGAUCGGCCACAUUGGGACUGAGACACGGCCCAAACUCCUACGGGAGGCAGCAGUAGGGAAUCUUCGGCAAUGGACGAAAGUCUGACCGAGCAACGCCGCGUGAGUGAAGAAGGUUUUCGGAUCGUAAAACUCUGUUGGUAGAGAAGAACGUUGGUGAGAGUGGAAAGCUCAUCAAGUGACGGUAACUACCCAGAAAGGGACGGCUAACUACGU
rnacentral:rRNA from 1 species